AUCGCUUCUCGGCCUUUUGGCUAAGAUCAAGUGUAGUAUCUGUUCUUAUCAGUUUAAUAGUCAGUGCUGAGAUGUGAAUUCCGGCAUCCUGAGCUCAGAGCCUACGCUUCACCACAACUCCAUAUUGCUAGGCUAACUUGCAAUUAUACAGAGUAGGCUCUUUACUGAUACAAUUAGUAAACUAACGAAGGAAAAUGAUAAUAAUU
rnacentral:snRNA from 1 species